rnacentral:rRNA from 1 species
CCCGCACAAGCGGUGGAGCAUGUGGUUUAAUUCGAUGAUACGCGAGGAACCUUACCUGGGCUCAAAUGUAUGUUGACGUAUUCUGAAAGGGAUACUUCUUCGGACAAUAUACAAGGUGCUGCAUGGUUGUCGUCAGCUCGUGCCGUGAGGUGUCGGGUUAAGUCCCAUAACGAGCGCAACCCCUAUCAUUAGUUGCCAUCAGGUCAAGCUGGGGACUCUAAUGAAACUGCCUACGCAAGUAGUGAGGAAGGUGGGGAUGACGUCAAAUCAGCACGGCCCUUACGUCCAGGGCUACACACGUGCUACAAUGGCCGGUACAGAGCGCAGCGAAGCCGCGAGGCAAAGCGAAUCGCAAAAAGCCGGUCUCAGUACGGAUUGGAGUCUGAAACCCGACUCCAUGAAGUUGGAAUCGCUAGUAAUCGCGCAUCAGCAUGGCGCGGUGAAUACGUUCCCGGGCCUU